rnacentral:rRNA from 1 species
GAUGAACGCUGGCGGCGUGCCUAAUACAUGCAAGUCGAGCGAACAGACGAGGAGCUUGCUCCUCUGACGUUAGCGGCGGACGGGUGAGUAACACGUGGAUAACCUACCUAUAAGACUGGGAUAACUUCGGGAAACCGGAGCUAAUACCGGAUAAUAUAUUUAACCGCAUGGUUCAAUAGUGAAAGACGGUUUUGCUGUCACUUAUAGAUUGAUCCGCGCCGCAUUAGCUAGUUGGUAAGGUAACGGCUUACCAAGGCAACGAUGCGUAGCCGACCUGAGAGGGUGAUCGGCCACACUGGAACUGAGACACGGUCCAGACUCCUACGGGAGGCAGCAGUAGGGAAUCUUCCGCAAUGGGCGAAAGCCUGACGGAGCAACGCCGCGUGAGUGAUGAAGGUCUUCGGAUCGUAAAACUCUGUUAUUAGGGAAGAACAAAUGUGUAAGUAACUAUGCACGUCUUGACGGUACCUAAUCAGAAAGCCACGGCUAACUACGUG